GCGGAUAUGGUUCACUGGCAGAAUGCGAGCUUCCCAAGCUUGAGACGCGGGUUCGAUUCCCGUUAUCCGCU
rnacentral:tRNA from 2 species